ensembl:miRNA
GGUCAUACCCUGGCUCCAGCCCUGUCACAUGGUUAAUGUUCCACAGCCAAUGACUGAGCUGGAGCCAGGGCCACUGCCCC